rnacentral:rRNA from 1 species
GUAAUCGCGGAUCAGCAUGCCGCGGUGAAUACGUUCCCGGGCCUUGUACACACCGCCCGUCACACCAUGAGAGCCGGUAACACCCGAAGUCAGUAGCCUAACCGCAAGGGGGGGCGCUGCCGAAGGUGGGAUUGGUAAUUGGGGUGAAGUCGUAACAAGGUACC